GGCCCUAUAGCUCAGGUGGAUAGAGCACCGGUUUCCUAAACCGGGUUAGCCCAGGUUCGAGUCCUGGUAGGGCCA
rnacentral:tRNA from 1 species